AUCUCUAUGGCCGAAUGGAUAAGGUUCCCGCAUAUAAAAACAGGACAUUGAAGGUUCGAUUCCGCUUGGGGUUU
rnacentral:tRNA from 1 species